CAGCAGCAGCGGCUACAACAGCAGCGGCUACAACAGCAGCAACAGCAACAACAGCUGCGGGUACAACCAUUGGCAACUCGGAGGUCACAACCAAUGCUCCAACAACUACCAUUGUUACCAAGUCUUCAACCCCAAAGAUUCAAAAACCUAAAAAAUCAAAGGAUCCAUGUAAGAAAAGGUUCAGGCGACGUCGAAACUCAAGAC